rnacentral:rRNA from 1 species
UCAUAUGCUUGUCUCAAAGAUUAAGCCAUGCAUGUCUAAGUACACGCCCUAGCAAGGCGAAACCGCGAAUGGCUCAUUAAAUCAGUUAUGGUUCCUUAGAUCGUACACGAUUACUUGGAUAACUGUGGUAAUUCUAGAGCUAAUACAUGCAUCUGGGCCCUCGACCCUCGUGGGAGAGGGUGCUUUUAUUAGACCAAGACCAGACGGGCUUGCCCGAACGUCGUGGUGACUCUGGAUAACUUUGGCGGAUCGCACGGUCUCCGCACCGGCGACGCAUCUUUCAAGUGUCUGCCUUAUCAACUGUCGAUGGUAGGUUAUGCGCCUACCAUGGUUGUAACGGGUAACGGGGAAUCAGGGUUCGAUUCCGGAGAGGGAGCCUGAGAAACGGCUACCACAUCCAAGGAAGGCAGCAGGCGCGCAAAUUACCCACUCCCGGCACGGGGAGGUAGUGACGAAAAAUAACAAUACGGGACUCUAAAGAGGCUCCGUAAUUGGAAUGAGUACACUCUAAACCCUUUAACGAGGAUCUAUUGGAGGGCAAGUCUGGUGCCAGCAGCUGCGGUAACUCCAGCUCCAAUAGCGUAUAUUAAAGUUGUUGCGGUUAAAAAGCUCGUAGUUGGAUCUCAGUCGUGCUCCCGUCGAAGCGUUGCAAGACGUGUUUCGUCGGGGCCGACAAGUCGUCGGUCGUCUCGGUUGGCCUUAAAAAGCUGAUCGGGUUGCCCGACACCUUUACUUUGAAAAAAUUAGAGUGCUCAAAGCAGGCCGGUGCCUGGAUAUUGGUGCAUGGAAUAAUGGAAUAGGACCUCGGUUCUAUUUUGUUGGUUUUUGGAACACGAGGUAAUGAUUAAGAGGGACAGACGGGGGCAUUCGUAUUGCGGCGCUAGAGGUGAAAUUCUUGGACCGCUGCAAGACGA